CCGUCUAUCGAAUCUCAACCGUCUUUCCUUUCUCUUCCUACCUUGUGAAAAUUUGCGCUGCUCUCAUUUCGCCCGUCUCUGAUAUCUCACCCGUCCCUCUCUCUCUCUCUCUCUCUCUCUCUGGGAAAGGAGGAUGGGUAAGGGGAGUGAGAGGGAGAAAGGAGGCUUCAGAGGCAAAGAGCAUUACGAGAAAGGGCAAUCUUCUAUGGCAGGGAAUGAGGCCUCUACCGUUGAGUUGGCGCAAAGGGCAGGAACCCGAAGAGCAUGUUCCAGACUUCAAGUGAGGGACGCCAAGGAAGAACACGAUGCACGCCGUGCGCCAUUGAAGAGGCGGACAAGUUUCUAGCGUUGGAUCAUCGCCAUUAAAGAAGUGGGAAAAAGUUUUGCAGUCUUCCUCUCGACCCAAAAUUUGUUGCCGACACUACGGCAAGGCCCCAUGCUGUCGACUAGUCGAGCAAGAAUGCUCGCACUCCCGAUCUUUUUUCCCCUUCUUUGGCUCAAGACUCUAGUGAUUGAGUGAGACUACAGUGAUUGCUCCUGUGUUCGUUUCAAUGGGCAGCAAUUGUGCGGUUGUCUGCACGUUCUAGGGUUUUUGGAAGCCCCUGAUCUUUCCCCUUUAGCCUUCUCUUGGUCUAACACGAAGGCGCAGUUCUCAGGAGCCAUGCUCAUUAAUACGCGAGAAAAACCUCUCUACCAAUGAAGACCAGCUUUCUUGGCGCAGAGGGCAGGAUGCCACCGAAGAUGAUGUUGCCGACUUCGACUGAGGGACGCCAACGCAGAUGAAACGAUACAGCGCACGCCAUGCGCCACUGAAAGGGGCGGGCGAGUUUCUAGGUUGGAUCGUCGCCAUUAAAGAAGUGGGGAAAAAAUUUGCAGGCUUCCUCUCCACCCAAAAUUUGUUGCCGACACCCCCAUGCUGUCUUUUCUUCGAGGAAGAACGCUCGCACUCCCAGAUCUUUUUUGCCCUUCUUUUGGCUAGAGACUACAGUGAUUGCUCCUGUGUUCGUUGCAAUAGGCAGCACUUAUGCGGAUGUCUGCACGUUCUAGGGUUUUUUGAUGCCCAUUUUAUUUCCUUUAUCCUUCCUUCUCUCGGACUAAGUCGAAGACGCGGUUAUCAGGAGCCAGAGUACUCUCUCUGGUCUCUCCCUCUCCCUCUCGAUUUUGCAUCUCUUAAGAACCAAGCUGUUUCACAUUCAGCAAUGGAGAUGGAGGAGGAGGUUAUGAAGAAUUGGAAGCGUUGGUGUGCGAUUCGCCUGGACGGCAGGCCAGUUUACUUUCUUCAAGCUUACUGGUUAAUGGAAUCCAACAAUACUUCAAUA